rnacentral:misc_RNA from 1 species
AUUGUUGGAAUAUCACUUGUGGGAUCAAAUCUCACAUCUGUAGUAUACAAGAAAAUUAAAUGGCAUAUAAGUAUUGGCAAAUCAAAUCAAACCAAACCAAAAAGGUUUAGGCCAUUUUGGUUAUAGGGAGCCUAAUUUAGCGUGUAGUCUGCUAGUUUGGUAUUUGUAUUCAACAUGGUAUCAUAGCAGGUUAGGACUCAGUUUCAAUUAAAUUUCCCGGUGUGGCUGCUACAUUUCGAUUUUGG